rnacentral:lncRNA from 1 species
UUGUCUUUGAGUGACUUUGGGCUGUCUCCUUAAAUAAAAUCCACCCUCAUUGGAAAAAGGCUUGCUGCCAUUGACAGGAGUCAAAAGAAUAGGCUCUUGACUCUGAAGGAAGAUCCCAAGAUAUAAUUUAUUUCAACUCAUUUAAGAUGUCGGCAGUGAAGUUGCUUGCUAGGUGUGAAGUGAAACCUUCAAGUGGUAUGACCUGUUUUGGAUGAAGUCAUACUGACUCUUUGUGGUCACCAAGUCCUUUUCUAAAUACUCACAAACCAUGACUUUAAUAAUCUAGAAUUUUUCCUGCAAUUAGUCAACCUCACCAAUCUAGUUUGAAGAUUCUCGUCCUUUUUUGGAAAACUGGCUCCAAUCUUGUAGCACCAACCACUCUGGAAAGAAAUAUGUAAUGAUGUAAGUAAAAUAACUUGUGUCUAAACCCUUUGGAUCAAAGAUUCUACCAUAGACAUCUACUCCAAGGAAGACAAUGGAUUAAAAAAAAUAAAGCUCCAC